CUUGCCGUAACAACCUGCCCACCAAGCUAGUUUUUCAAGCUAUUACUUUAUUUUUUUAUUUUUAGUAACAGGGGAACACUGUUACGCACGCUGCUCACUGUAUUGCAACAUUCUUCAAAAUAUACUUUCUGUUUCUUAUGGAAAUACCCAGUCCUCACUCACAUUCUCAAGAAUACACCACAUUUUUUUGCAGAGCGUGUUUAAACCCGUGGGAAACAUUUAUUUUAAAUUCUUUUGAAUCUGAAUCGAAAUUGUUUUGUUCAGUGGUGGAGAAAACCGGUUUACCUGAGCAGGAGAUGUCAGAGUCAUCCCAGAACCAUCUAAACAACCUUGAAAGUCUUCCACUGACUACUGUAACAGGAACAGGUCUUCAACAACCCGAGGAAACCUGCAGUCAAGUAAUCUGUGAGGACUCUACUGCGUCCUGCUGCAAUGACAAGUACCACAGGAAACUGGCCGUCUGUAGCAUCAUCUGCGGGUUUUCCUGCUGCGGAGUCCCAGCUUUGAUUUAUUCUGUCAAGGCUGAGGAUGCUGAAAAAGCUGAGAAGGCCGAGCCGACGACAGACAGGAGAGCUCCAGAGUAUUUAAGACAGGCCAAAAAAUGGGGCAUCAUCUCCAUCGUGACGUGGGUUUCCGUUCUAGUGUCAGCUCCAUUGCUGCUGGCACUGGGCUCAUAUCUCGCCACUUUGAUUGACUGAUCAACCUCAAAGGAGAACAGCCAGAGGAGUGUCUCUGCUGAUGUUUAAGGAGACGGACAGUGGAGAGCAGGAAGCUGCUGAAUCAAUGGCUACGAACACCAAAGCUGUGGAGAAACUACAGGUUACAUUAAAUGGAAAAAGGCUGUCUUGGUUUUUCUUACGCUGAAAUGGGUGCUGUCCUAAUUUAUACUUUUCUAGCUCCUUUAGUUUUUACACAAAGAACAAACAUCUUUCAAAAUAGUAUUAAAUGUCUAACAACUGUUUUUGUUAUAUGCUGUGAUAUUUAUUAAACCAUCUGUUGACCCGUGGACUAUACGAACGUACAUGUAUAUAUUAUAGAUUGAAGACUAAAGCUGUUAUAUAUAAUAUAAAGCUACUUAAAUGUAAAGCUGCUCCCGUAAAGACUCAAUCCUUAAUAUUCUUACAGUUAUACUUUAACUUUCUUACUGUAGAUGACUACAGAUGCUAUAUAAGUUAAUCAAUCAAUCAACAAGUCACUUUAAAAUGAGGCAACUUGUGACUUUAGGAUUGAGUCUCUACUGGAGAUAAAAUGCGAGGCAGUGAUUGGGGCAGUGCUUUAUCAGGACAUUAUGAGGUCCUGUUCUUGCUAUUUUAGUUUAUUAAUGUCAAAUGUAUAUAUAUGCUGCACUUUUAUACAAACAUUAACAAACAAUUUUAUAAUAAAAUGAGGAAACUUUUAUGGUCUUCAUCCACUUGAAACAUUUUAACAUGUACUCAUUAAAAAAACGUUGCCAUGGGAUUAUUGCAUUGUUACAAUAUUUACUUCAUUAAUGUCAAAUGUAUAUAUAUACACAUGUUGUACUUUUAUACAAGCAUUAACACAAGCUGUUUUCUAAUAAAAUGACAGAUUUUUUAUGCUUUGA
ensembl:lncRNA